rnacentral:sRNA from 1 species
CACAUGGCUUUCUAGUAUUCCCCCCCCUUUUUUAUGGACAAAACGUAUUCUGUUUUGUCCUUUUUU